ACUGCCAUAUCAUGUUGAAAUACCAGUUCCCGUACGAUAACCGAAGUUAAGCAAUGACGAGCCAGGUCAGUAUAUAAAUGGGUAACUUCUUGGUAAUACCAGAUGCUGUAAG